UUUUUUUGCUAAAUAUGUUAAUAUCAUUAAUAAUGAAGUUGUGGCGUUACAAAGAAAACCAGUACAAAAGCAACUUUGGCAAAAAAGUAAAAACAAAGCUACAAUAGAUUUAGGAAAUUUUUGAAGACAUUAACGGAUCCAGAGAAGCAUUAGCUUACGCCAACGCUUCCUAAGUCUUCUCGAGGAAAUGAUGUUGCGGAUCUCACGAUCGACGAGCUUGAAGAUAACUGCAGGAGCUAGGCGAAGAGAGUUGUGAAGGAGAUUAUUUCUUUGACGCCAAAGAUUGUACACCACGACCUGAGAAACGAUCUUCCGAAGCAGAGGAGGCGCUUCCGGGGAGGACUGUCUGACCCAGGAAAGGAGCUCCGACCAAGAGCUGAAAAGCCGUUGACGAGGGCAGAUCCUGCGAAAAACCAGCCGCCACACUUGGGCAGAGAACUCGCAUAUCAGUAGAAGAUGAUCGCGAGACUCCGAAGCGAAAGAGCAAAGAACACAAGCGUCGGACUGAAUGUGUCCCCAAGAAGCUAGCCUUUGCCGCGUCAGAAGACGGUUGAGAUGGCUAACCCACAUGUUGAAUGCAUACUUCGGCACAGCUCCCUUGAACCAGAUAGAGGAGGCCCAGCUUUUCACAGUAGCCUUAGGCCGAAUAGCUUCCCAAGUCUUUGCAGCAGAAAAACCCUGGCAAAGAAAACCAUUAACAGACCAUUCGUAACGGUCGACAUCCUCCUGAGCAGUAGAAGGCACAGGCACCGUGCAUAAGUGAUCGUGAAUGCCCUUAGCAGGAGCGGAACGGGACACCGGAAGUCUCCACCCAUCUUCAGAAAAAGCUGAAGCAACCUUUGCAAGAAGAGGGACACGCAGAGAACUUGGCCCAAUGUCACCAAUGAUCCGAAAGAGAGGCCCAAGAGAAGUCCAGUUGUCAUACCAAUAGUCAGCUUUAAGGCCAUUACCUACUUUGCAUACUAGAAAUUGAUGCGCUAGAGGCCUUAGACUUAAUAACCUCUUCCAAGUCCAAGAGUCACUCUGACCCCCUUCAACAGCCCAGAAGGAGCCGCGACUAAGAUGAUGAAGGUGCUGCCAAUCGGCCCAGAGAGAGUCCUUAGCAACAAACAGCCUCCAAAUAAGCCUCAUACUAAGAGUUUUGUUCCAUUCUAGGAGGCGUCUUAAACCUAGACCUCCUUCAGAUUUUGGGAGACAAAGGGCUGCCCAUGAAACCUUUAUCCCUUUAGCUUGCUCAAUAUUUCCUGACCAAAGAAACCUAGAACAAAGACUUUCAAUCCUUUUGAUGCAUCCCUUAGGCAGCAGAAAAGUGGACAUCCAGAAGUUGAUGGAACCAAAUAUAACAGAAGAGAUAAGCUGAAUCCUGCCAGCGAAAGAUAAGCACUUAUUGACCCAAGAGCGAAACCGUGCCGUAAUCUUCUCAAGGAGAGGCUCAUACUCCGCAAUGCGCAGCUUACGAUUCAUCAAAGGGAGGCCCAAAUACCUA
rnacentral:sRNA from 1 species